GUUAUAUCUCAAAUCUCACAAGUACUAUCUUCUGACAUGUUAAGUCGUGCUGAUUAUAUUUUCCCUGUCUGAAGUAGACCUCUUGAACAUGUCAACCUAGGCAUCUGCUGUGAUUUUCACUAGCUUUGAUUGAGUACAUAUUGCAGUCUGUUUGUUUUGAAGUAGGUGUAUUGUGAUUAAAAUAGGGAAUACCAUGUAUUUUUACAACAAUUUUUUUAUCUAAACAAUUAUAUAUGCAGCAUUACAAAUAUAUCCAGAAAGGUAUUAUAGCAUUCGACCAGGAGACCAAGAUGCAAAGUGUCAAGAAGCAGUGUAAUAUAAAAAGCUCAUCAUUUGUCUGAGCUAGCACUUACUGAGAAGAUAUUCGUGCAAACACCAAAAUCUGACAUCCAGCAACAGGUAAGGGAGCCUGAAAGAGAGAAGAAAUGAAGUAUUCAAAGUAAUGAAGCAGACAGUCUGCAUCGAGGCUGAAUGUCUACCGAAAGAGGAAUUACAGGGACUGUUCCAGUUCCUAGAGUGCUUUGUUAGAGACAAGGAGAAGGAUCCCUUACAGAGGGAGAGGCAUGUGACACGGCUCCGCAAAGAGACAUAAUUGACAUGUAAUACGCCAAGGAAAGCAUCGAAAUAAAGAGAUAACACAGAAACAUUGUAUCUAAUUAGGCCAUCUA